rnacentral:tRNA from 1 species
GGGGCGGUGGUCUAGUGGCGAUGUCGCUCUCUCCCUUAGAGAGAGGUCGGUGGUUCGAAUCCAUCCCGCUCCA